ncrna:unclassified sequences eL15-Euryarchaeota ribosomal protein leader
CGGACACGGGUUCGUUGGAAUGUAACCUUAAAGGUUGAACCGUAAA